rnacentral:tRNA from 1 species
AUGGCACUUGUGCGUCGAGCGACCGGAACCAGCCCCUUUCACGGCGGCAACACGGGUUCGAAUCCCGUUAGCCCUGCCA